GAUGAACGCUGGCGGCGUGCCUAAUACAUGCAAGUCGAGCGAACAGACGAGGAGCUUGCUCCUCUGACGUUAGCGGCGGACGGGUGAGUAACACGUGGAUAACCUACCUAUAAGACUGGGAUAACUUCGGGAAACCGGAGCUAAUACCGGAUAAUAUAUUGAACCGCAUGGUUCAAUAGUGAAAGACGGUUUUGCUGUCACUUAUAGAUGGAUCCGCGCCGCAUUAGCUAGUUGGUAAGGUAACGGCUUACCAAGGCAACGAUGCGUAGCCGACCUGAGAGGGUGAGAGGCCAAACUGGAACUGAGACACGGUCCAGACUCCUACGGGAGGAAGCAGUAGGGAAUCUUCCGCAAUGGGCGAAAGCCUGACGGAGCAACGCCGCGUGAGUGAUGAAGGUAUUCGGAUCGUAAAACUCUGUUAUUAGGGAAGAACAAAUGUGUAAGUAACUAUGCACGUCUUGACGGUACCUAAUCAGAAAGACACGGCUAACUACGUG
rnacentral:rRNA from 1 species